UACGGGGGGGGCAAGCGUUGUUCGGAAUUACUGGGCGUAAAGGGUGCGUAGGCGGCUUUCUAAGUUGGAUGUGAAAACGUCGGGGCUCAACCCGAGCCUGCAGUCGAUACGGGCAGACUAGAGUGCUGUAGGGGAGACUGGAAUUCCUGGUGUAAGCGGUGAAAUGCGCAGAUAUCAGGAGGAACACGGUGGCGAAGGCGGGUCUCUGGGCGAGUAACUGACGCUGGAGGAGCGAAAGCGUGGGGAGCGAACAGG
rnacentral:rRNA from 1 species